rnacentral:RNase_P_RNA from 1 species
CAAGGCAACCGAGCCCUCGCGCAGAAAAAUUAAAAAUUUUUCUGUGAGGAAGGUCCGGACACCUGCCCUAACCAGUGGGCAACGCUCCGGGUAACACCCGGCCGCAGUAAUGCGAGGGGUGCGAACAGAGACGCUUUGCCGGGCAACCGGCAAAGGUCCCUUCAAAUAAAUUUUUAUUUGAAGGGAUAGUCCAGCUAUAAGGCAAAUUUUUGCCAAAGGCUGGGGUGAAACGGCUAAAUCCCGGCGGGGUGCAACUCCACUCCUUUAAGAAGAUUUUUGAGUGGGGGCUUGAGCCAAGGGGCAACCCUUGGCCUAGACAGAUGAGGGCUUAAAAACAGAAUCCGGCCUACGAGUUGCCUUGGCUU